rnacentral:ribozyme from 13 species
CAAAGUGAAAAAAAAAAAAAAAAAAAAAAAAAAAAAAAAAA